rnacentral:SRP_RNA from 1 species
AUUCAGGCGCUGUGCAAUGAACUGAUGCUGAACCCCGUCAGGCCCGGAAGGGAGCAGCGGUAAGCGUUCGGAACAUGUGCCGCAGUUUGCUUGAGCGGA